rnacentral:rRNA from 1 species
AGUGAACGCUGGCGGUAGGCCUAACACAUGCAAGUCGAACGGCAGCACAGUAAGAGCUUGCUCUUACGGGUGGCGAGUGGCGGACGGGUGAGGAAUACAUCGGAAUCUACUUUUUCGUGGGGGAUAACGUAGGGAAACUUACGCUAAUACCGCAUACGACCUACGGGUGAAAGCAGGGGAUCUUCGGACCUUGCGCGAUUGAAUGAGCCGAUGUCGGAUUAGCUAGUUGGCGGGGUAAAGGCCCACCAAGGCGACGAUCCGUAGCUGGUCUGAGAGGAUGAUCGGCCACACUGGAACUGGGAAACGGUCCAGACUCCUCCGGGAGGCAGCAGUGGGGAAUAUUGGACAAGGGGGGCAAGCCUGAUCCAGCCAUACGGCGUGGGUGAAGAAGGCCUUCGGUUUGUAAAGCCCUUUUGUUGGGAAAGAAAAGCAGCAGGUUAAUACCCCGCUGUUCUGACGGUACCCAAAGAAUAAGCACCGGCUAACUUCGUG